rnacentral:pre_miRNA from 1 species
AACUCAAAUUUCUUCUAAAUGUUAUAAGCAAAUAUGCGUGGCACGGCUUGUGCUUUAGCUAAACAGCUGUGACUACUAUUUGCUUAGCCAACAGAAGAAGUUUUCGAC